rnacentral:rRNA from 1 species
GACGAACGCUGGCGGCGUGCUUAACACAUGCAAGUCGAACGAAGUGGCGAACGGGUGAGUAACGCGUAAUCAACCUGCCCUUCAGUGGGGUACAACAGUUGGAAACGACUGCUAAUACCGCAUACUGAAGGUGGGGAUUGCGUCUGAUUGGCUAGUUGGAGGGGGAACGGCCCACCAAGGCGAGGAUCAGUAGCCGGGCUGGGAGGAUGAACGGCCACAAUGGGACUGGGACACGGCUCAGACUCCUACGGGGGGCAGCAGUGGGGAAUCUUCCGAAAUGGAGGAAAGUCUGACGGAGCAACGCCGCGGGAGUGAUGACGGCCUUCGGGUUGUAAAGCUCUGUUAAUCGGGACGCGGUACCGGAAUAGAAAGCCACGGCUAACUACGUGCCAGCAGCCGCGGUAAUUC